rnacentral:tRNA from 1 species
GCGGCCGUAGUCUAGUCUGGUAGGACUCGAGGUUGCCAAUCUCGAAACCCGGGUUCAAAUCCCGGCAGCCGCA